rnacentral:rRNA from 1 species
UACAGAGGUCCCAAGCGUUGUUCGGAUUCACUGGGCGUAAAGGGUGCGUAGGCGGUCGGGUAAGUCUGAUGUGAAAUCUCACAGCUUAACUGUGAAACUGCAUUGGAUACUAUUCGGCUUGAGAGUUGGAGGGGGGACUGGAAUUCUUGGUGUAGCAGUGAAAUGCGUAGAUAUCAAGAGGAACACCAGUGGCAAAGGCGAGUCCCUGGACAACUUCUGACGCUGAGGCACGAAAGCUAGGGGAGCAAACAGG